AGGAGCCCGACACUGAUUUGAUCGAU
rnacentral:piRNA from 1 species